UACGUAGGGUGCGAGCGUUAAUCGGAAUUACUGGGCGUAAAGCGUGCGCAGGCGGUUUCGUAAGACAGAGGUGAAAUCCCCGGGCUCAACCUGGGAACUGCCUUUGUGACUGCGAAGCUAGAGUACGGCAGAGGGGGGUGGAAUUCCACGUGUAGCAGUGAAAUGCGUAGAGAUGUGGAGGAACACCGAUGGCGAAGGCAGCCCCCUGGGCCGAUACUGACGCUCAUGCACGAAAGCGUGGGUAGCAAACAGG
rnacentral:rRNA from 2 species